rnacentral:lncRNA from 12 species
AUGAAUGACCAGCUGUCUUCAGGACAUUGCUACCUACUGGUGUCUGGCCCUCCAAGCUCAUCAUCCUCUCUUGUUCUCUCAUUAUUAUGGAUGGCAUGCAUUUCAGAUUCCUCUUCAGCUUCCCUCACCCACAACAUGAAGUGGCUCACAAGUGCACCUAAGACACUGAGAAAAAGGUUGGCCAACCAUCCAUCCCAUCUGCUACUGCUUAAUGUGGUAGGAAUUAAAUGCUUCUCGUUCUUCCAGCCAAAUCGAGCUCCUCUGUGGUAGAUGGGCAUAAAGCUCAUGGAUUGGCUAGAAGCAUCUGAUUUCUGUAACAUCUUGCUGCCAUAGCAGCUAUCCCAAGGUAUGGAAAUUCUUUACUUGUCUCCCUUUGGUAGACCAGUGAGAAUAUGAAAGCUAGGAUUAUGACUCCAGUAAUUCUCAGUGUUUAUGGAUUCAGUGAUGAAUUAAUUAAAUCAAUACUGAGUGGCAAUUCUUGAUU